UACGUAGGGUGCGAGCGUUGUCCGGAAUUAUUGGGCGUAAAGGGCUCGUAGGCGGUUUGUCGCGUCGGGAGUGAAAACCCAGGGCUUAGCCCUGGGCUGGCUUCCGAUACGGGCAGACUAGAGGUAUGCAGGGGAGAACGGAAUUCCUGGUGUAGCGGUGAAAUGCGCAGAUAUCAGGAGGAACACCGGUGGCGAAGGCGGUUCUCUGGGCAUUACCUGACGCUGAGGAGCGAAAGUGUGGGGAGCGAACAGG
rnacentral:rRNA from 1 species